UACAGAGGGUGCGAGCGUUGUUCGGAAUUAUUGGGCGUAAAGGGCGCGUAGGCGGUGCGGUAAGUCACCUGUGAAAUCUCCUGGCUCAACUGGGAGCUUGCAGGCGAAACUGCCGUGCUGGAGUGUGGGAGAGGUGAGUGGAAUUCCUGGUGUAGCGGUGAAAUGCGCAGAUAUCAGGAAGAACACCCGUGGCUAAGGCGGCUCUCUAGUACGGUACUGACGCUGAGACGCGAAAGCGUGGGGAGCGAACAGG
rnacentral:rRNA from 1 species